CCUACGGGAGGCAGCAGUGGGGAAUAUUGGGCAAUGGGCGCAAGCCUGACCCAGCAACGCCGCGUGAAGGAAGAAGGCUUUCGGGUUGUAAACUUAUUUUCUGCGGGACGAAGAAUGUGACGGUACCUCAGGAAUACGCCACGGCUAACUACGUGCCAGCAGCCGCGGUAAUACGUAGGUGGCGAGCGUUAUCCGGAUUUAUUGGGUGUAAAGGGCGUGUAGGCGGGAAAGGAAGUCAGAUGUGAACACUGAGGGGCCAACCCUGACCCUGCAUUUGAAACUGUUUUUCUUGAGUGCUGGAGAGGCAAUCGGAAUUCCGAGUGUAGCGGUGAAAUGCGUAGAUAUACGGAGGAACACCAGUGGCGAAGGCGGAUUGCUGGACAGUAACUGACGCUGAGGCGCGAAAGCGUGGGGAGCAAACAGGAUUAGAUACCCGAGUAGUC
rnacentral:rRNA from 1 species